GGGCUAGCGUUGCUCGGAAUCACUGGGCGUAAAGCGCACGUAGGCGGCUUUCUAAGUCAGGGGUGAAAUCCUGGAGCUCAACUCCAGAACUGCCUUUGAUACUGGGGAGCUCGAGUCCGGAAGAGGUGAGUGGAACUCCGAGUGUAGAGGUGAAAUUCGUAGAUAUUCGGAAGAACACCAGUGGCGAAGGCGGCUCACUGGUCCGGUACUGACGCUGAGGUGCGAAAGCGUGGGGAGCAAACAGG
rnacentral:rRNA from 1 species